rnacentral:misc_RNA from 1 species
UGUUAUUAUUUUUUUGCAACUAGCAAGAUAUAAAAUUCAUUGAGAUAAAGCAAAUAAUACAAGGUUGCUUUGCUCCAAAGUAUGAAAGGCAAAACAAUCAUCAUGGAGCAUUUUUUGAGCAAGAAUAUUCACCGCUCUAUUACAAGAUUUAGGGACAUAAUUGAAAUUAAUAACAUUAAUUUGACUUGCAAAUCUAGAAACAUCAGAAAAUAUCCCAAAAAGAUCUCUAGGGACCACUCCCUUGCACAUCACCUUCAAUGCAUAUGGAUUGAAAGGCUCAAUUUGCUACUAUUAAAACAGCUUCCCGACAAGCUCAUAAUUUCAAAGCUAACGAAUCAGAUAUGCCAUGAAUCCGUUUGCAAUACCAACCAACCGGAUAACCAGCAGAAUUACGGGAAAUAGUUGCAACUGCUCCCCUUUGCUGUUGAGUAUGAACAGCAGCAUCAAAAUUGAUUUUCAGCAUAGAUGAAUGAGAAGGAAUCCAAGCACUAGGUCUGAUGAGGACAUCAUGUUGGAUCUUGAAGUACCACAAUUCAAAGGAGCCAUAACAAGGUCAAGAGCCAAAGCUUUGUGUGCACUAAUCAUUGAGCAGGAAGCCCUAACACAAUCGACCAACACUACGGGGAGUCAAUUGGAGUGCUUCGCAAUAUUGCAACUACAUAUUCAAGGAGAUCCUACCUUGACCAAAUUGGGGGGAAGCUAUUUGGAAGCUUGCUGACUUAGCAUGCCACAUGGCAUGCCAUGUGGAUGGUGAUGUGGCAACUUGGAUUAGGUGGCAGCAUAUGUGGAUAAUGUAUUGGCAUGCUCACUUACCACUUUGGUUCAAGUUAUUGUCCAUUGUAAAAGUGAUGAGUGGGGAAUGUCUUUGUCCAACUUUUUGCAUUUUUAGUAAAAGCUAAAGCUCCAAAUCUGGCUACAAGACAAUGGCAGACUUUGGGAGAAGAAAUGACAGACAUUGGGGCAAGAAAUCUGAUUUUGGAGGCCUUCCUUUUAUAAUUAAGUCAUUCAAACAUUUAAGGAAAGAUGUUAUGUAUUAACCAGCCAAGCAUGGACCAUUAGGCAUUUGCCAUGCUUGGCCAAACAGCUAUAUAAACACCAUCUUCAUUUUGUCAUUUUUCAGAUCAGAUUUUGUCUUUUGGAACUCCAUUAGAGAGAGUUUGUAAGAGCUUAAGCUCAAAUACUCUUAAGUGAGAUUAUGUUAUUUGCUAAGUUCCACCUAGAACUUAGAUUUAUUACAAGUUUGUCACUUGUAAUAUCUUAGGCUUAUAUUUGAGAAACUCCAGCACAAGUUGCUUUUGUGUUUCAAGUGUCAUUGACAUAUUGUAACCUAUCCUUUCUAUUUUCUAAUGUUAAAGAAAGUUUUCUUCAUUCAAAGGGUUGUCUAUUUUAUUGGAAGUUGAGUUGUUUGUGAAUGAUUUGUUAUGCUUGAGCUUGGUUCAGUGGACGAUCCAUCCUCCAUGGCCGAAUCAGAUUGUGUUCUCCUUGAAGGAUUCAGCCAAGGCAUGUAUCAAGGUCAAGGAGAAGCCAAAGAUGGAGGAAAACCUGUUUGCUUAUUACAAUCAAGAAAUUCUUGAAAAGCAUUGGUAGUCUUGGAUAUAACCUCUUGAAAAGGCCAAUCCACAUUUUCAAAAAACAAAGCAUUGCGACUCUUCCAAAUGUACCACAACAAAUACACAAGUAGUUAAACUCGAUAAUUAUGAUACUCAUGUUGCUGGAUCGCAUCAUAAAGUUCCAUCCACAAAGAUGAGAGAUUGGUAUUAUGCAACAAAAGAGAAUGUACCCGCCAAGGAGAGUGUAACCAAACUGCCGCUGAUUUAGGACAUUGGAAGAAUAGAUGAGAAAGAGUUGCAAUGGCUCCACAAGCUUUACACUCCUGACUGAUCUCUAGAAUCUUGCGAUGUAAUAAAUCCCCACAAGGAAGUCUCCUUGGACUAACUUCCAUAAAAAAAAUAGAGAGAUCGUUAGGAAGAUUAAUGUUCCACAAUUUUCUUCAAAAGGAAUCAGUAGUUAGGAGAGCUUGAUUAGUUGGGUCUGAUGUGGAACCUGUAGGCUGUAAAGAAUGAGAAGUAUGAGCAACUUGAUAUCCUGAUUUGACAUUGUAAUUACGAUUCCUAUUGUAAUGCCAAAUUAAUUGAUCUUCCCCUUUAAAUAAGGCAAUAGGGAUAGAGAGGAUAUUUGCCAAUUCAUUAGGUUGGAAAUUCUUCUUCAGAGCUUGAACAUUCCAAGAGCAUUGUGUAGGGUGCAUCAAAUCCGAAACCCAAUUGAUUAAAGGGUUAAUAGGGAAUUUAAUUUGUGUUUAUGAAGGGAAAGAUUUUGGAAUCCAACACUCAUGCUUACAUAGCACAGAUUUACCAUCAUCAAUUCCCCAUCUAGUGCCCCUUUUGAAGGAUGUCUCUACCCCACAUAAUAGUUUGCCAGUCAAAGAUCAAUUAGCACCCAAAGUAGCACUCAUGAAGGAAGUAAAUUUAAUUGAGAAUUGCAGAGUGUGAGCAUUAUACAAAACCAACGGUUUUGAAUUGAUCCAGACAGAAUUGAUUUGAUUCGGCUCCAUUCUAUUCGGUUCUUCUCUCAAUUUAGUUUAGUUAGCAUUUUACAUGAAUUUUAUUUUUUAGCUUUUUGAUUUCAAUUCAGUUUAGAAAUGAACCUACUGAUUGCUCACCCCUAUUAAAACAGAAGCCUACACACAAGGGAAAUCAAUGUAUCUAGAAUACCGGCUUUUAUAUAAUGUUGGAAAAAAGAAUAUGCAAGAAAAUGAAAGAAAGUAAAAAAAAGGAAGAGCAAAAGAGAAGCCACAAAAAAACUUAACCUAUUUAAAUUUUAAUUAAAAUAAACUUAUAUUGUACCUUUUCUAGCAUUUAGGAAUUGACAUAUUAUAUAGUUUAAUGCACCAAAUAGUAAAUGUAUUUAUUAUAGAAAUAAAUACAGAUGACUACAAAACUACAAAUGUUUACAGUCACAACAUGGUUACAAAUGAUAUAUCAAAUUGCUCCUUAUCAGAAAAUUGAACCAAAAACAGACAAUUUAUGAUUUAAGGGGCUGAAUGGACUCUUAACAGAAUUUAUUGCUUAAUGUCAAUGUCAGUGCUGGUUGUAAAUUUUAAUGUCUACAUUUGGUAUGGCAAUGGUCAGUUAGCAGACAUGCAUGGUAAUGUGUGAAUUAGCAAACCAGAUUGAGUUAAACAGGGAAAUUGAACCCGAGUUAUAAAAGAACGAAAUACUAAUGAAAUUUAACAAAUCAAACCUCAUUCUCUUCAAGAAAAUAAUCUGAUGCCAACGAUAGUUCAAUUUCUCUCCACAACAUUUCAAUUUCACAGUUUUCUUCAUUAAAGAAAGCUAUGGCCUUACAUCUUAGAGAAGACGAAAGAUUUUCUUCUCUGCCGCUUGCGCCCUUCACUAGCUUUAUGGUUUUGAAACCAGUAAAAUACGUUCUUGCUCUCCAUCUUUCCAGAGGAACUAAGCUCAGAAGAGAUCUUCUGGAUCUUAUCAGUGCUCGGUUUUCGGAGUCCGGACCUGACAAGUCAGUCAGAACACUGUCGAUGAAGGUAGAGUUGAUAAAAGGAGAUGGCGAGGGGACUGAGAGAGAGAGAGAGAGAGACGGUGAGAUGUAAGCUGCAUUUGGGUUAGGUUCACAGUGAAUGGAGAAUAGGAAUGAAUGGCUUGUGCUAAACAGUGAC